AGUCUUCAGGAUCUCAGCCA
rnacentral:misc_RNA from 1 species